rnacentral:rRNA from 1 species
ACAGGUGCUGCAUGGCUGUCGUCAGCUCGUGUUGUGAAAUGUUGGGUUAAGUCCCGCAACGAGCGCAACCCUUGUCCUUUGUUGCCAGCACUUUGUGGGGGAACCUCAAGGAAAACGGCCGGGAACAACCGGAAGAAGGGGGGGAAGAACUCCAGUUCUUCUGGGCCUUUACGGCCGGGGUAACCCCCGGGUAACAUGGGUCGGACCAAAAGGAUCCCACCCCCCAAGGUGGACCUAAUCCCAAAAAAGCGUCCGAAUUCCGAAUCGAAUUCGCCACCCCAACCCCUGAAAUCCGAAAUC